UCUCCGUUGGUGAACCAGCGGAGGGAUCAUUACCGAGUUUACAACUCCCAAACCCAAUGUGAACCAUACCAAACUGUUGCCUCGGCGGGGUCACGCCCCGGGUGCGUCGCAGCCCCGGAACCAGGCGCCCGCCGGAGGGACCGACCAAACUCUUUCUGUAGUCCCCUCGCGGACGUUAUUUUUACAGCUCUGAGCAAAAAUUCAAAAUGAAUCAAAACUUUCAACAACGGAUCUCUUGGUUCUG
rnacentral:misc_RNA from 1 species